GUCUUCUCAUUUUCUCACGCUUCGAAACCUAAAAGCCGCCGUUGUCGCCGCUUCAGCUGCCUCCAGCUUCGUCUUCUUCUUCUUCUUCUCACCCUGUCGUGCCCGCCGCGGCCAUUUCCAUUGCCGCCGCCACUGCUUCCUCCGCCGCCGCCGCCGCCGCCGCCGCCGCCGCUUCCUCCCCUCGCCGCUGCUUCCGCCGCUUCCUCCCCUCGCCGCUGCUUCCGCCGCUUCCUCCCCUCGCCGCUGCUUCCGCCGCCUUCUUCUUCUUCUUCUUCUUCUUCUUUUCGUCCUGUCAUGCCUGCCCGCCGCUGCUGCCAUGUUCUUCUUGAUGGAGCCAUUGAUUUUGGAUAAGAUGGAGAAGUUGCAAAGAAUGAUGAAACAUAUUAUGAUUAUUUUUUGUAUUGUUAUUCUUUAACGUUGAUGAGGAUAAUGCAUUUGAAGAACCUACUUUAGGCUCAGCUUUCUCGAACCUAGUGAGCUUGGAAAUCAUUCUCUCAAGGCUUUUUUCUUACACAUGGAAGUGGAGAGUUGGAAGCAGAUAAUGUUUUGAUUUGAGAACUGAUAGUCCCUGGUUGGUAUGCACAUUUGCUUUUUGUUUCCGACAUUGUUCCUUGUCUUCUUUUUUCUUCCUAAUUUAUCAUGCUCUAACUGAUCAACAAUUUCAGGAACAGUAGUUGGUGGAGUUCUUACAUCAGUUGCAUCUUUAGCAUUGUUGUUUAAGUCGAUAUGUGAAUACACACUACUCUUCACCAUUUCCUUCUCCUGCGACAAGUCAACUUUUUUUGUUCCAUUUGCAUUGCUAUUUUCUUGGACAAAUGUAGUUUCAGAACCAACUUCACCAUGCCUCAUAUCCCUUCUCUUUUGAACUUUACCUGGUUCAAUAGGAAUACUUCAAUACCUUUGUCGAUAGGAGCUUCAUUACUAACCAAAUUGGCUUUCUUAGUCCUCUUCAACACAGAGAUUUCUUUGGUUGUGUUACUAUCCAUGGAGUUCUCCAUAAAUUUCUCAUCCAUUCUGCCUAAUCCUGGUAAUAGAACAACUUUGCAUCGUCCAAGCAAAAUGAGCUUCUGAACUUUUUAAAGAGGUCACUAAUUGCAAUGGUCUUUGAUGUAUAAUCAAUUUUUGAGUAUUAGUCUGAUUUAUUUAUAAUUUAGUAAUUGGUCAUCAUUGUUUUCUUUUUUAAGUUUAGCUUCAAAUGUGUAAUUGACAUCUGGACUAAUAUGUUGAUUUUUUUUCAUGAUAGGUCAUCAUGGUUAGACAAAAAAAAGAAAGAGACAACCAUGCUAGAAAAAUUGAAUGGUGAUCAAGCAAAUGUGGUAAGAGGAUUCUGGCGAAGAAGGAUUAUAGAAGUUAUCUCCAGAUCAUGAGGAGUUGAUCUUUAGACUUUCUAUUGUGUAACUUUUAUGGGAAUAAUAGUUGUUUUUCUUAUCAAAUUAAUGAUGGAUGUGUAGAUAUUUCUAUUAUUGCAUGAAUGUUGGAUGCACUUCAAUUAAUGAUUGUAGAAUUUUAUAUUAUGUAUAUCAUUUUUAAUUUAUAGAGAGAAUUUUUCCUUUUGUUUUGAAAUGAUAAUUCAAUAAAUCUGAUCUAGAUUAA